rnacentral:misc_RNA from 1 species
GAUGAAGAACGUAGCGAAAUGCGAUAAGUAGUGUGAAUUGCAGAAUUCAGUGAAUCAUCGAAUCUUUGAACGCACAUUGCGCCUUCUAGUAUUCUGGGAGGCAUGCCUGUUUGAGCGUCAUUAAACCUCUCUCAAGUAUGAUUACUUGGAUGUGAAGGAAGAGUACCUUAAACUUAAGGAGUGUUCUCCUUUGAAAUUGAUUAGCAGAUGUUAAUGUUAUUAAAUCCCUGAUGUUGUAAGAAAUAACAGUGGUUUUGUAGACUAUUAUCUAGCUUUAAAUUAUAAUUUUUAUUAUGGUUGACCUCAAAUCAGGUAAGGAUACCCGCUGAACUUAAGCAUAUCAAUAAGCGGAGGA